GUUGGGUAGCUCAGUGGUAGAGCAUUUGACUGCAGAUCAAAAGGCUGCAGGUUCAAAUCCUCACUGUCCUGUACA